AUGCUAAUCGUGCCUUAUGCAUAUUCAUCUAGGUCGUAUAAAGUUGACUGGGGGAAACUUGGCUGGUUUUUGUUGCAGUGUUUAUAAUAAUAAUAUAUUACUGUAAGUAGCAAAGUCAUGAAAUAACAGAUGUCAUUAAUAAAGAGAAUAUUUUGCUGAUAACAAUAACUUUAUUUUCAUACGGGGCGUGGUCAGUUUGCAAACACAACACCACUUGCUCGUGUCUUCUGCCUCAGCUCUGACUUUGACAACAGGCCGGGGUUUUUACACAAGAUCAACUAAUUAGUAGCAUAUUUCAGUGAAACGCUGCGGUUCAUUUUGGGCUUGAGGUACAUUGUUAGCGUUGAUAGUACUGGCUUGCAUUGAAUAACAAUGGAAACGCGAGUAGCAUGGACAAGAUGGACAACAAUCAACCGCCAAAUGUACAACCGGUACCAAGACAUGACGUGCAUAAUUAAUGACUGGAUACUCCUUGAUGUCCCACUUUAUACAUGCCCAUAAGGAUUAUGCUACAGAGGCAUACAGUAGCUAACUGCCACCAGCUGAGGACUGCCUGGUUAAACUUGCUGAAGAAAAGAUAGAAGAUGAGAAGCUGUUUCUCCAGUGUUGUGCUGGUGGAUGCACCAAUAUGCUGUUUAUAGAUCUGCUGUGGUGUGUUAACAUUGCUGUGUUGAAGCCAUUGACAUAAAGUUUAAGUUCUUGAGAGGUCAUUUAAAUCUGAGAUUUGAAAUAACUGAUUUGAACAUGUUCAAGUAUUUCUUUUUUCGUGUAUUUCUCUCACUCUGACCAUCUCUUUCUCUUAAUUUUGUGAAGCCUGUAGUAGUUCUAUGGCAGUUGUUUGUUUUCUGUGAGUGCUUUGUUAACUAAAAUUGUAUAAAACAGAUUGUCUACCCCUGAAA